rnacentral:rRNA from 1 species
AUUGAACGCUGGCGGCAGGCUUAACACAUGCAAGUCGAACGAUGAAACUCUAGCUUGCUAGAGAAGAUUAGUGGCGGACGGGUGAGUAACAUUUAGGAAUCUGCCUAGUAGUGGGGGAUAGCUCGGGGAAACUCGAAUUAAUACCGCAUACGACCUACGGGUGAAAGGGGGCGUAAGCUCUUGCUAUUAGAUGAGCCUAAAUCAGAUUAGCUAGUUGGUGGGGUAAAGGCCCACCAAGGCGACGAUCUGUAACUGGUCUGAGAGGAUGAUCAGUCGCACCGGAACUGAGACACGGUCCGGACUCCUACGGGAGGCAGCAGUGGGGAAUAUUGGACAAUGGGGGCAACCCUGAUCCAGCCAUGCCGCGUGUGUGAGGAAGGCCUUUUGGUUGUAAAGCACUUUAAGCAGGGAGGAGAGGCUAAUGGUUAAUACCCAUUAGAUUAGACGUUACCUGCAGAAUAAGCACCGGCUGACUCUGUGCCAGCAGCCGCGGUAAUACAGAGGGUGCGAGCGUUAAUCGGAAUUACUGGGCGUAAAGCGAGUGUAGGUGGCUCAUUAAGUCACAUGUGAAAUCCCCGGGCUUAACCUGGGAACUGCAUGUGAUACUGGUGGUGCUAGAAUAUGUGAGAGGGAAGUAGAAUUCCAGGUGUAGCGGUGAAAUGCGUAGAGAUCUGGAGGAAUACCGAUGGCGAAGGCAGCUUCCUGGCAUAAUAUUGACACUGAGAUUCGAAAGCGUGGGUAGCAAACAGGAUUAGAUACCCUGGUAGUCCACGCCGUAAACGAUGUCUACUAGCCGUUGGGGUCCUUGAGACUUUAGUGGCGCAGUUAACGCGAUAAGUAGACCGCCUGGGGAGUACGGCCGCAAGGUUAAAACUCAAAUGAAUUGACGGGGGCCCGCACAAGCGGUGGAGCAUGUGGUUUAAUUCGAUGCAACGCGAAGAACCUUACCUGGUCUUGACAUAGUGAGAAUCUUUCAGAGAUGAGAGAGUGCCUUCGGGAAUUCACAUACAGGUGCUGCAUGGCUGUCGUCAGCUCGUGUCGUGAGAUGUUGGGUUAAGUCCCGCAACGAGCGCAACCCUUUUCCUUAUUUGCCAGCGGGUUAAGCCGGGAACUUUAAGGAUACUGCCAGUGACAAACUGGAGGAAGGCGGGGACGACGUCAAGUCAUCAUGGCCCUUACGACCAGGGCUACACACGUGCUACAAUGGUAGGUACAGAGGGUUGCUACACAGCGAUGUGAUGCUAAUCUCAAAAAGCCUAUCGUAGUCCGGAUUGGAGUCUGCAACUCGACUCCAUGAAGUCGGAAUCGCUAGUAAUCGCAGAUCAGAAUGCUGCGGUGAAUACGUUCCCGGGCCU